rnacentral:rRNA from 1 species
AGUGGGGGAUAGCCCGGCGAAAGCCGGAUUAAUACCGCAUGAGACCUGAGGGUGAAAGCGGGGGAUCGCAAGACCUCGCGCUAUUGGAGCGGCCGAUAUCAGAUUAGCUAGUUGGUGGGGUAAAGGCCUACCAAGGCAACGAUCUGUAGUUGGUCUGAGAGGACGACCAGCCACACUGGGACUGAGACACGGCCCAGACUCCUACGGGAGGCAGCAGUGGGGAAUUUUGGACAAUGGGCGCAAGCCUGAUCCAGCAAUGCCGCGUGCAGGAAGAAGGCCUUCGGGUUGUAAACUGCUUUUGUCAGGGAAGAAAUCCUCUGGGUUAAUACCUCGGGGGGAUGACGGUACCUGAAGAAUAAGCACCGGCUAACUACGUGCCAGCAGCCGCGGUAAUA